CGAGUGGUCUAAGGGUUCAGAUUUAGGUUCUGAUGUGAAAACGCGCAGGUUCGAAUCCUGCAG
rnacentral:tRNA from 1 species